rnacentral:rRNA from 1 species
UACGGAGGGUGCAGGCGUUAUCCGGAUUCACUGGGUUUAAAGGGUGCGUAGGCGGCCUGAUAAGUCAGUGGUGAAAGCUUCCCGCUUAACGGGAAAACUGCCAUUGAAACUGUCGGGCUUGAGUACGAUUGAUGUGGGCGGAAUACAUCAUGUAGCGGUGAAAUGCUUAGAUAUGAUGUAGAACACCGAUUGCGAAGGCAGCUCACAAAAUCGCAACUGACGCUGAGGCACGAAAGCGUGGGGAGCAAACAGG